rnacentral:rRNA from 1 species
AGUAACAAUUGGAGGGCAAGUCUGGUGCCAGCAGCCGCGGUAAUUCCAGCUCCAAUAGCGUAUAUUAAAGUUGUUGCAGUUAAAAAGCUCGUAGUUGGAACUUAGUAGGGUUCCCGUUCAUUUACUUUGAGUAAAUUAGAGUGUUUAAAGCAGCCUCUUUGGGCUUUGAAUAGCAUUAGCAUGGGAUAAUAGAAUAGGACUUUGGUUCUAUUUUGUUGGUUUUCAGAACCUGAGUAAUGAUUAAUAGGGACAGUUGGGGGCAUUUGUAUUUUGUUGUCAGAGGUGAAAUUCUUAGAUUUACGAAAGACAAACUAGUGCGAAAGCAUUUGCCAAGGAUGUUUUCAUUAAUCAAGAACGAAAGUUAGGGGAUCGAAGAUGAUUAGAUACCGUCGUAGUCCUAUACCAUAAACUAUGCCGACCAGGGAUUUGUGGACGUUUAUUUUCAAAAAUGACUCCAUGAGCACCUUGUGAGAAAUCAUAAGUCUUUGGGUUCCGGGGGGAGUAUGGUCGCAAGGCUGAAACUUAAAGGAAUUGACGGAGGGGCACCACCAGGCGUGGAGCUUGCGGCUUAAUUUGACCCAACACGGGGAAACUUACCAGGCCAAGACAUUUGAAGGAUUGACAGAAAUACUGUCUUCUUAGAAGGACUUUUGGUUCACAAGCCAAAGGAAGUUUGAGGCGAUAACAGGUCUGUGAUGCCCUUAGAUGUUCUGGGCUGCACGCGUGCUACACUGAUAGAGCCAACGAGUUUACAACCUUGGCAGAUAUGUCUGGGUAAUCUUGCGAAACUCUAUCGUGCUGGGGAUAGAUGAUUGGAAUUAUUCAUCUUCAACGAGGAAUGCCUAGUAAGCGCAAUUCAUCAGAUUGCGUUGAUUACGUCCCUGCCCCUUGUACACACCGCCCGUCGCUACUACCGAUUGGAUGGUCCGGUGAAAUUCUCGAAUCGUGCUGUCACUUUGUGACUCUCGGGUUACAAAGCCAGUGUGAGAAGUUAAUUAAACCUUAUCAUCUAGAGGAAGUAAAAGUCGUAACAAGGUUUCCGUAGGUGAACCUGCGGAAGGAUCA